UACGUAGGGGGCAAGCGUUGUCCGGAUUUAUUGGGCUUAAAGAGCGUGUAGGCGGCCAGGUAGGUCCGCUGUGAAAACUCGAGGCUCAACCUCGAGAUGUCGGCGGAAACCAUCUGGCUAGAGUCCGGAAGAGGAGAGUGGAAUUCCUGGUGUAGCGGUGAAAUGCGCAGAUAUCAGGAAGAACACCCGUGGCGAAGGCGGCUCUCUGGGACGGUACUGACGCUGAGACGCGAAAGCGUGGGGAGCGAACAGG
rnacentral:rRNA from 1 species